AGUCCAUCCACAAUGGGUUAGAAAACCUCCAACUGAUGGGUGGUUGAGGACUUCCUCUUGUGGACACCAACUACAAAUAAAGCCCCUGUCUUUAGUUUCUUCAGUGAAUUCUGGCGGCAAUAUCGCACAGUCGCCAGCGAUCAUGUCAGGUCUUAUGAUCCAUAAAAAUGGGUGACCGCUUUUUGCAAGUCCCAUUCCAAAUUCAAUGAGCUGCUGCUUUGUAGCGACUGCUACGCUGCCAAAAUUAACAUAAACGACAGAGUUGGAUUUCUGGGAAUCCAGCCAUUGGACACAUUGAACUUCUUCUUUCCAUAGAUUACUUCCAAUAGAAUUCAGAUCAUCUUCUUGCAUUUGAUUGAGAAGCAAUUGAAGUGGACCAAUCGCAUAGACACGAGGAAACAUGGAGUAAAGGGCAUUCAGAACCUCUUGCUCCAAAGCAUCAAAAGUAUGGAAAAUAACGGCAGAACCUUCAGAAGCCCUCUCAGCACAUUCCACGCAGAAGUUAAACAUAUAAUCAUUUGGAUCUGUUGUUCGAACAAAACUGGGAAGGUCCCUUAACUUUAUAUCUCUCAUUCCUGGGAUCCAAUCUACCACUUUGUCCAAGUAGCCAUUUGUUAAAAAGCUCUCAUCUGCAAACAAAAAUUGAACGUACAUAUAGCUUUUAGUAACUGAAUAAAAGUGGCUGCAGAAACAGAGAAAAUAUAUAUAUAAAAAAAGAAGGUUUCCUAGCUUGUACCCCUAGUGAAAAGAAUGAAUAAUUAAGGGCAACAGUUUACUUACAGGAGAAAAUAUUUUGAAUUAAUGAACUAAUAAAAAAACCUUAAUGAAAUUAUAAUUACGUUUUUUUCCUUGUUCAUACCUUCUAGUGGUGUCAGACCUUUUUCUUUGAGUGCUCGAAAUUGUUUAGUCCCCAUGAAGCUGCAAGCAGAGAUAGUAUAGAACAAUGCAAUAGGAAUUUCGUGCAUCGCAGCAGCAUCGAUCGCGACUGGCAUGGCACCAUCAGAGACGAUAUAAGUCACUGGGGGGACAUCAGAAGAUGCUGUGUCAUUCACCUUGUCAAGCAGGUCAUUAAAUGGACCCAAUAAGUUCUUCCUGGAAGCCUCACAAAUUGCAUAGAAAUCGUGGGCGGCAUUCUCAUCCGGAGCAGGGAAGCCAUCUGGAAUGGAUUCAAACCGAAAAUCGGGCAAACCAGUCAGGGAAUCAGGACCUCUAGAUCUAAGUAAACGUUUGUGGUUAAACUCUGUAUUGACAAAGGUUAUGUGAAAACCUUUGUGAUGUAGUAGUUUCGCUAGUUUAAGCAUUGAGUUUAUGUGGCUCUGAGCUGGGUGGGGAAUGCAAACUGCAUGAGGCUUAUCAACUAAAAUAUUAGAAGCCAUCUCUCUAAUCUCCCUCUCUCUCUCUCUCUCCUCUGUUGUCCUCGCAGUAGAGAUUCUGGCCUUUGUAUAGGCUUUAUCAACUUAGGAUCACACUGUUGGUGGGAUUGAAAUUAAAGAAGACAAUGCUGUAAAUAAUGAAGAUUAUCAACUUUAUUAAUUUUUUUUUUAUAAAUAUAAAGUAUAUAUAAGGUUUUUUAUUCUAUAUUAGAAAAAUAAGAUCUCCAUAUAAUAUUUAUAUAGUAAAAUUUGAUAUAAAAUAGUAAUUAAUAAAGAAAAUGAUAAUUGGCUGGCAUGUAUAAGAUUGAGCUAGAAAAAAAUAUCUGAUUACCCGUGCAUAGCUAUAUAUACUUUUGUUUUCAGUAAUAAUUUAUUUUUGAUUUUUUUUUUUGUGUUUAUUAUUUUGAUCUUUAUCUAACUGUUUUUAUAAUUCUUAUUUUUUUUAAAAAAACUUGUUGAAUUCUAAAACAGUCUUGUUUUUGAAAAAAAUAUCUUCAAGGAUAGAUACUGCAGGCCUUUUUUGUUCUUCGUUAAUUUAUUACAACAGAGACUGGUGGUGCUUCUGGAAGAUUAAAUCGAUCAAAAAACGAACUUCAAUUUAGAUUUUGAGAUCAAAUACAAAACAAAGACAACUCUCUUCAAGCUCUCUCUCUCUCUCCCCUUCACUUUUCUCUCACCCAACCUCUUUAUUAACAGUGGAAAUAGAGAAACCAUCCCCAUUCUCAAUUUAGAAUAUGAUUAGAAACACACCCAGGUGGACAUGAAGUCAGCUAGACGGAAGAAUCAAAAGCAAGCCGCAGGUCGAGAAUUCUUCAGAAGAAACAAAAACCAGAGCACAGUAAUUUAUUAAAGCAGUGGACACAAAUCCCUUGAGCGGACUCUCUUGUCCUUCGGUAAAAUUACUACAGCAAGUACUGCAUCAUUUAGGAAAAAGACUCAGCAGUCAACACUAGCCAGCCAUAAUAUUUAGCAAUAAUUUAUAUCAGAAAAGCUUAGGAUAUCGUAUAUGUUUAUAUGAAAUAUUAUUAAACAACGAAUCAACACUACUCGCCUUGAAAACAACACAUUUGUCUUGGGCUUUAAUUAUCUUUUAAUAAAGAAACUUUUUUUUUUCUUCAUGAUGAAAGCACUUCCGUCACUAACGUGUCUAAAUUCACCACUGGGGUCAGUGGCCAAUUUUUCCAUUCUGUGACUUUUACAGAAUUAAAGCAUAGUGUGAAAGCCAAAAAAAAUAGUAAUAAUAAAUAAAAUAACAUAAUUAAUUAGGCUUUUUUUAUAUAUCCUUUUACUAUUUAAGAGUAUUUUAAGUGAAGUGAGUAUAUAAUAAAGAAAAUAAAAAAUUAUAGUAAUUUACACUCUAUUUUAUCAUACUAUAAAAACUUUUAAUACACUACGGAAAAAGAAAUAAAAAGCUAAUAACCACCUUGUUUUAUGAAUUCAUUCAAGUGGCUCACAGCAUACAUUUAGUCCUCAUAUUUAUUGUUUUGAUAUAUUAGUGUUAAAAAUAAAUUUUAAAAAAUAAAAUAAAUAUUAUUUUAAUAUAUUUUUAAAUAAAAAAAUAUUUUAAAAAAAUAAACUGUUCCAUCUAGGCUUUACAAUAUACCCGACUCAGCGGAAGAGUCAAAAGCAAAAAGCACACAAUUCUUAAGAUGAAGACAACGUGUAGAAACAAAAACCAUAAAAUAAUUAGAUAAUCAGAGAGCGAGUACAAUCAUAGCUUUUCUGUCUCUCUCUUUGAAAAUUGAGGCACAGAGAGAGAAAGGAGAGAGAACUCGCAGGAGAGAGGGCUUGAGCUGGAAGGGGAAAAAACUGAUGCAUAGAGGGAGUGUUUCCUGCCGAGAGGGAGCAGUGCUUGAUUUAUUUUUAUAAAUUAAAAAUUUAAUAACGUUACAAUCAGAAAAUUUGUUUUGUAAAUUUAAUAAUUUAUAAAAUUAAUUUAAUAUAAUAUGUAAGACUAUUUAAAUAGAAAAUCCUCAAAUCUAAUUAAGAAAAAAAAAUCUAAAACUAAGAAAAUAAAUGUAAAUUAUUUGGCAAUGCAAACACCAUAAUCACCUUGAAAAUAAUACAUUUGUCUUGAGAUUUAAUUAUUUUUUUCUGAUAAACAGACCAUAAUAUUAUUUUUAUGACAAAAGCACUUCCGUCACCAGCCUGUCUAAAUUCAUGGAUGAUGAACCACCGGGCCCAGUGGCCUCCUCGGCUAAUUUUUUCCACUCCAUGGCUUUCUUCUUCAUUUUCUUACCUUCUUCUCCUUCCAUCAACUCUCUCACUUGUUUUUCCACAUUUUCUCUCGUCACAUUGCUAUCAAUCUCCAUUCCAGUUGCCCACUCAUUGCAUGUAUAUCGACAGUUUGUUUGCUGAUCACCGAAGGAUGGCCAACAAAGCAUAGGCACGCCAGAAGAAAUGCUCUCAAUUACUGAGCUCCAUCCGCAAUGUGUUAGAAAACCUCCAACUGAUGGGUGGUCGAGGACUUCCUCUUGUGGACACCAGCUUGAAAUAAAGCACCUGUCUUUAGUUUCUUCAGUGAAUUCUGGCGGCAAUAUCGCACAGUCGCCAGCGAUCAUGUCAGGUCUUAUGAUCCAUAAAAAUGGGUGACCACUUUUUGCAAGUCCCGUUCCAAAUUCAAUGAGCUGCUGCUUUGUAGCGACCGCUACGCUACCAAAAUUAACAUAAACGACUGAGUUGGGUUUCUGGGAAUCCAGCCAUUGGAGACACU
rnacentral:lncRNA from 1 species